rnacentral:rRNA from 1 species
GACGAACGCUGGCGGCGUGCCUAAUACAUGCAAGUAGAACGCAGUUGCGAACGGGUGAGUAACGCGUAGGUAACUGCCUCAUAGCGGGGGAUAACUAUUGGAAACGAUAGCUAAUACCGCAUACUGUGAGAUGGACCUGCGUUGUAUUAGCUAGUUGGUGAGGGAAAGGCUCACCAAGGCGACCAUACAUAGCCGACCUGAGAGGGUGGUCGGGCAAACGUGGAACUAGGCAAGGCCCAGGCUCCUACGGGAGGCAGGAGGAGGGGAUUUUCGGCAAAGGACGGAAGUCUUGCCGAACAAAGCCGCGGGAGUGGAGGAGGUUUUCGGAGUGGAAAGCUCUGUUGUUAGGGAAGCGGUAACUAACCAAAAAGGGACGGCUAACUACGUGCCAGCAGCCGCGGUAAUAC